UGGUUGUAAUUAAUCAUGUACAAGUUGGUGUUGAGGGUUUUGUUGUUGGAGGUUAUCCUGAUACUUUAAUAAUCAUCCAGUCUCAAGUAGAGAAGGAUGAGUUAUGUGGUGAGAGGGGAAGGAGGUCCUAGUGUAUGUGUCAGUUUUGGGCAUAGGUGUCAACGGCAUAACCUUGUGGGUGGCAUGUUGUGUUGUAUUGGAAGUAUAUUUGUAAAGAGCAGUGGAGGCCACCACAAGUGAACAACCUCCCGUGAUCGUGCAUCAACGUUUCAUUCGGAUGAGGUUGUUUGAUAUGAUUAUUGUAUGAUGAGAUGAUUGCGCCUAGCAUGAUUAUUGUAAGAUGUUAUGAUUUAGUCUAGUAUGAUUAUUUGUAUGGUAUGAUGAAUAAGUUUAGUAUAAUUAUUGCAUGAUAAUAUGUUAUUAUUAUGUGUAAAAUAUUUAUGCAUGAUGGAUGAAUUAUCUGUAAUAUGUUAGCUCUCCCUACUUGUUUGUGUUUGUUUUUUUUAGGAUGAUUGUGUUUACUAUACGAGAUUAGAUGAGGGAAUGUUGUCCGACCCAGUGCAAGUGAAGAGAGAGACGGAAGAGUAAAUGAGAAGAGUUUGAGUUAUAAUUAUGAGUGUUGAAAUUUGAGUUUAUAUAUAUAUAUAUAUAUAUAUAUAU
rnacentral:lncRNA from 1 species